UUGUCAAAAUCCCAAUUCACGAAAACACUUCUCCCUGAAAUUCUCCCGCGUCUAAAUUUUUCUGGGUGAAUUCAUUCCCUCCUAAAUCGUUUAUCAAUUUGUGUAUCACAUGUGUUGCAUCUUCAAUUACAGCGACAUCGAUUCUUAUUCCUAACCCUAACCCUAAUUCUUCAUCUUCAUUUACGACUGCAUCGAUUCAUCAAUCUGUGUAUCAAAUGCAACAAUUCAACUUUGGUGUACCAUCUGCAACGAUUCAUCUCAUGUGUAUCACCUGCAACGAUUGCUCACAGUAUCGUUGCGGGUCCUAAAAAUUUUAGAAAACUAGUUCAUAAAGGUAUCCAAGGUAUCGCUCAACUGAAACAACACUACAAAGAUAAGACCACAGGUCGGAAAUCUUAAACGAGACUUCCUUCAAUGAUUGGGUGAAGUUGGCUGAUGCCCCAACAUUACCUUCCAGUUUGAGUUUGUUUAAAAAGCUUCAAGAAUUGGGCUUCAUAUCUCUUGACUUAUAGGAGUGAGUUUUAGAGGAAUGUCACAGAGUUUAACCUUCUCUUUGUAGGCUACAGAAAUUGGGACAGACUCAUCUUAAGUGAAUAUACCAAAUACUUGUCUUAGAAGCCCUUGAGCUAGAGGAUACCAUACACAGAACUACGAUAGUUGUGAAGCUACAAGAUGGUUUGCUCAUAACCUAUAUUUCCUUUUCUCAUUUUUUUAAUCUUCUCAUUUUGAAUUUCACAUCUUUGUUUGUGUGUGAAGAAGGGACUGAUAUUCCUGAUUGUUGUUGUACCACUUUUAUAUGAACACUUUAGUCCCAAAUUUCAUUGGUUGAAGAAAUGUGUUAGAGCCUUAAAGUGCUUCAGGCCUAAACGAAAAAGGCAAAGUAGGUGAAGUUUGGGAUACUAUUUUUUUUUAACCUAAGAGAACAGUCUAUAUAGCUGAAAUAUAUUGAUUUAUCGUAGAGUUUCUGUUGAAAAUGCCAAGUAUGAACCCAAAUAAGUUUCUUACUUGAAUGGAUGAAGAUGAAUGGACCGGACCACCAAUGAUAGUUAAGUUAUUUCGUUCACACAAUUGAUUUAAUUUGAAUUUGUUUUUGUUUCUUCAUUUUCCAAACUCAGUAUCAUUUCAAUAUUUUUGUUGUUGUGUAGGAGAAAUCUGAUGACAAUAGGAACUGAACCUGCUAUUGCCAUUAACAUUACAAGGAUGAUUGUGGGUCUAGACGAGUAAACAAUUGAGUCAUUUAAAAAGAUUGAACUAGGAAAGUCGAAGACUUCCGAGAGUGGAACACAAUGUAUGAAAGGUGAUUAUUUCCUGUAUCUUGCUGAGUUCAAGACUGACUAAGAAAGGAAAGAGGAUACUGAGCAGUUACUUAAAGGAUAUGAGGUUGCUUCAGCCACUACAAACACUGAUGUUCCAUUAACACAUCCAAUUGUCUUGGACCUAAACUCAAAUUCUUUGUCUUUAAUUAUGAGAUUAUGACUCUCUUGAAAGAGCUUGUCAUUUGGCCAAACAAGCUUUUGAUGAGCCAAUUGCGGAGUUGGAUACCUUGAGUGAAGAUUCAUACAAGGAUAGCACUUUGAUCAUGCAGUUGUUGAGAGACAACCUAACCAUGUGGACCUCUAAUUUGCUAUAGGAUGGAGGCAAUGGAUAAUGAAUAGAACUUGAUUUAAGAUGCAUAUGAGUUUUGCCAGAGUAAAUAAGUGAAUAUCAAACUAUAUGCUGCCAAAUGAUGAUGUGUAAUACACUGGAGUGGUUGGUGUACAACUUGCACAAUAUCACUUGGUGGUAGAAACCAAAGUUUUAUUAUUUCAAGAGUAUUGUCGAAGUUCAUACUUCAUGCACUGAUGAAAAUGGAAGAGAGGAAGAUAAGAAGAAAGAUGGAAGAGAGGAAGAUUAGAAAUUUCUUUUAUCUUAGAUACGUUUUUGUGUUUUUUUUUGUUGUCGUAGCAAUUAUUUUGG